rnacentral:rRNA from 1 species
AGUGGCGGACGGGUGAGUAACGCGUGGGUAACCUGCCUCAUACAGGGGGAUAACAGUUAGAAAUGACUGCUAAAACCGCAUAAGCGCACAAAACCGCAUGGUUUGGUGUGAAAAACUCCGGUGGUAUGAGAUGGACCCGCGUCUGAUUAGCUAGUUGGAGAGGUAACGGCUCACCAAGGCGACGAUCAGUAGCCGACCUGAGAGGGUGGACGGCCACAUUGGGACUGAGACACGGCCCAAACUCCUACGGAAGGCAGCAG